rnacentral:misc_RNA from 1 species
UGAUUUUCUGCAUCGACCUUGCCGAGAAACACACAACAACUUUUUCAUCAUGCCCUUAUCGCUUACAGUGUAUACAAUAGUUUGGGAGAUUAUCAUCUUGAAUAAUGCUCAAUAACUUUGCCUGAAUCUUUGUCCACGAAGAAUAACGUUAGUUUUUUGGAUGCUUAUUUAGUAGAUCUAGAAUAACCUUUAACUCUAGGCCUG